GACGAACGCUGGCGGCGUGCUUAACACAUGCAAGUCGAACGAAGAGCGAUGGAAGCUUGCUUCUAUCAAUCUUAGUGGCGAACGGGUGAGUAACGCGUAAUCAACCUGCCCUUCAGAGGGGGACAACAGUUGGAAACGACUGCUAAUACCGCAUACGAUCUAACCUCGGCAUCGAGGAAAGAUGAAAGGUGGCCUCUAUUUAUAAGCUAUCACUGAAGGAGGGGAUUGCGUCUGAUUAGCUAGUUGGAGGGGUAACGGCCCACCAAGGCGAUGAUCAGUAGCCGGUCUGAGAGGAUGAACGGCCACAUUGGGACUGAGACACGGCCCAGACUCCUACGGGAGGCAGCAGUGGGGAAUCUUCCGCAAUGGACGAAAGUCUGACGGAGCAACGCCGCGUGAGUGAUGACGGCCUUCGGGUUGUAAAGCUCUGUUAAUCGGGACGAAAGGCUUUCUUGCGAAUAGUGAGAAGGAUUGACGGUACCGGAAUAGAAAGCCACGGCUAA
rnacentral:rRNA from 1 species